AAAGAAUUGGCAUUGUCAGCUACUUCACUUAUAAAUGCAUGAUGUGUGAAAAAACAAGGAUAAUUUCAACGGAAAAAGAAGAAGAGGAAUUAAAUGAUUUAUUUGUGUGGGGAUCAUUAUCAGUUGGGAUUGGACACCAACAAGUAGAAGAAAUGAUGGCAGUAAUGGAAGUCCCUGUAAUGAGUAAACGGAAAUGGACGAGACAUGAACAGCGAGUUGAAAAGGCAUGGGAAGACAAACUGGAAAAAUACAUGCUUGCUAAUGGAGUCCAAGAACGUGAAAUCGCUCUAAAGAAGGGCAACAUAGAUGAAGAUGGAAUCCCUUACAUUACAGUCUAUCAAGAUGGCGGUUGGUGUACAAGAUCAUACGGCCAUGGUUUUACUGCAAAAUCAGGAGUUGCUUGCAUAAUUGGAGCCGAAACUAAUGGUUUGCUGUACGUUGGAAUACGCAACAAGUAUUGUUAUAUAUGUAACAACCAAGAAAAACCAGGCAGCAAAUCCAGGCCACAUAAAUGCUACAAAAAUUAUAAAGGAACUUCAACAGGAA